GGGGAAGUAGCUCAAUUGGUAGAGCACAAUCACCGAACUAUAAUGUUGUUAGUUAGUGAUGUUGGUUUCUUGCUAGAAACAAGGUUCGAGGUUCGAUUCCUCGCUUCUCCA
rnacentral:tRNA from 1 species